GUGUCAGCAGCCGCGGUAAUACAGAGGGUGCAAGCGUUGUCCGGAAUCACUGGGCGUAAAGGGCGCGUAGGCGGCCUGAUAAGUAGGGGGUGAAAUCCUGGGGCUUAACCUCAGGGCUGCCUUCUAGACUGUCCGGCUCGAGCACAGUAGAGGCAGGUGGAAUUCCCGGUGUAGCGGUGGAAUGCGUAGAGAUCGGGAAGAACAUCGGUGGCGAAGGCGGCCUGCUGGGCUGUUGCUGACGCUGAGGCGCGACAGCGUGGGGAGCAAACAGGAUUAGAUACCCCCGUAGUCC
rnacentral:rRNA from 1 species